rnacentral:piRNA from 1 species
UAUGAGCAGCAUCAGGACAACCCACAA